rnacentral:rRNA from 1 species
UACGUAGGGUGCAAGCGUUAAUCGGAAUUACUGGGCGUAAAGCGUGCGCAGGCGGCUUUGCAAGACAGAUGUGAAAUCCCCGGGCUUAACCUGGGAACUGCAUUUGUGACUGCAUGGCUGGAGUGCGGCAGAGGGGAUGGAAUUCCGCGUGUAGCAGUGAAAUGCGUAGAUAUGCGGAGGAACACCGAUGGCGAAGGCAAUCCCCUGGGCCUGCACUGACGCUCAUGCACGAAAGCGUGGGAGCAAAAGGG